rnacentral:SRP_RNA from 1 species
CUUCAGGCUCCGCACAAGGACUGUGUUGUGAACUCCGCCAGGCUGGGAACAGAGCAACGGUAGCGAUUACAUCCUGUGUUGCGGUUAAGUCUGAAGCCU